GGAAUAUUGGUCAAUGGGCGUAAGCCUGAACCAGCCAAGUAGCGUGCAGGAUGACGGCCCUAUGGGUUGUAAACUGCUUUUAUGCGGGGAUAAAGUCACCUACGUGUAGUUGUUUGUAGGUACCGCAUGAAUAAGGACCGGCUAAUUCCGUUCCAGCAGCCGCGGUAAUACGGAAGGUCCGGGCGUUAUCCGGAUUUAUUGGGUUUAAAGGGAGCGCAGGCUGAUGAUUAAGCGUGACGUGAAAUGUAGCCGCUCAACGGCUGAACUGCGUCGCGAACUGGUUAUCUUGAGUGAGUACGACGUCAGCGGAAUUCGUGGUGUAGCGGUGAAAUGCUUAGAUAUCACGAAGAACCCCGAUUGCGAAGGCAGCUGACGAGUCCUUUACUGACGCUAAAGCUCGAAGGUGCGGGUAUCGAACA
rnacentral:rRNA from 1 species